rnacentral:lncRNA from 1 species
CCCUUUUCUUGCAGAGAUAUUUUUCGUAUUUUUUGAGUCAGAUUUCAGUUUUAUCUUUGAGGUGACAGGAGAAUUUUUCUGGGUGAAAAUACUCCCAACUUUCUGGAGCAAACCCUCGAUGUUUGCAUAUUCCUAAGUAAAUGUCACAAAGUAAGCCUUUGGAUGUUGAUGGCUCUUCUUGUAAAGACUAUCUUUUCAUGGAGUUCCUCCAUUUGAAGGCGGUCUCAUAUUCCAUCGCCCUGAGGAGCGGCAUCGCUGCAAUUACCUUUUGGGACUGGCCAUGAGACAAACAUGUACAUGUUCUUUGAUAAAUUAGCAUCUAAGCUCUUUUGCUGCUGAUGUGUUUUUGUGGUUAGUCUGAGACAAGCAAAUUCAUAUGUUUCCUAACUUCCGAUUUAUCAAUCACAGCUUUUUUGUUAUUUAGUAAAUGUUUUUUUUGUCAUCUUUGUGUACAGUAGACAUGGUCUUUAUUGAGGACAUGUAGCUUGCAACUCGUGUGAUCUUUCGUGCCAUGCUUUUUAUCAUGUUUUUUUUUUUUUUCAGAAGUCAUUUCCUUCUCUACGCUCUCUUACUUCAUCGAACCAGUAUUUUGUGGAUUAUUUGUUCAGUGAUGGGAGAAUUUUUCUGGGUGAAACUUCUCCAGCUUGCUGGAGCAAACCAUCUAUGUUUGCAUAUUCCUGAGUAAACAUCACAAAGUAAGCUUUUGCAUGUUGUAGGCUCUUCUUGGAAAGAUCUAUCUUUUCAAGUAGUUCCUCCAUCCGAAAGUGGUCUCAUAUUCCAUUGCCUUGAGUAGUGGCAUCGCUACAUUUACCUUUUAGGAAUGGCCAUGGGACAAACAUGUGUUUUAAGAUAUUUUCAGUUAUAACAUAUUCAUGUUUUUUCAACCUUGAACUACCAUUUUUUCUUGUUCUGUAUUGUGGAUUCAAUCUGUGUUUUUUUUGGUGGGAAAAACUGUUACUAAUCACUAAUCAGAUGUAAUAAAUAAUCCUACCUCAUCUGGUUUCAUUCUAGUUGGAUUUUUAUUUGCUGAAUUUGACUGUUUUACUGACGGGAGGAUUUUUCUGGGUGAAAAUUCUCCAACUUGGUGGAGCAAACAAUCCAUGUUUGCAUAUUCCUAAGUAAACGUCACAAAGUAAGCUUUUGGAUGUUGAUGGCUCUUCUUGGGAAGAUCUAUCUUUGCAAGGAGUUCCUCCAUCUGAAAGUUGUCUCAUAUUCCAUCGCCUUGAGGAGCGGCGUUGCUGCAAUUACCUUUUAGGACUGGCCAUGAGACAAACAUAUGCAUCUUCCUCUGUAUUUUUUUGUGUUACCCACUUCAAUAUUUGUGGUCAGUAAUGGCUGCUACAUAUAC